GGACUGCUGUGACCCUUCAGCCCGUAUUUACAGAUAAACUUUAUACCUCAUUCGAAAGCGUAUUAAGAGAGGAACAAAAGGUAUAUAAUCAAUAUAUUUCGCAACGUUCAUAACAAACGACAUUGUGUGUACUCGAUUAUGCUUUCAAACAACCGUUGCAAGUAGUAACCGUUGCAACGAACGGUUUGUGAUUAAGAUUUAUUUCCCUUGAAAUUGCACAGACAUAAACAAGCUAAAAAUAAAAUAUUUUCAUAUUUUUUUCAAAUAAUCGCC
rnacentral:lncRNA from 1 species